rnacentral:tRNA from 1 species
GGACUAUAGCUCAGUGGUAGAGUGCUUGCCUACCACAUAUGAGGCACUGGGUUCAAUCCUCAGCACCA